CUGGGGAAGGAAAGCAGUUGGUGCAAGGGACAGAGGCCUGGGUGAUUCUGCCAUCAAUGCUCUGUGACUCCAGAGAAAGACCUGCCCUCUCUGGGCCUCCGUUUCCCUCUCCGUAAACCAGAUUUCCCUGCAGUUGGAGAGGGU